UGAGGAAUAUUGGUCAAUGGGCGGAAGCCUGAACCAGCCAUGCCGCGUGCAGGAAGGAGGCCCUACGGGUUGUAAACUGCUUUUACCCGGGAAGAAACCGCCCCCUGUGGGGGGCGUUGCCGGUACCGGGGGAAAAAGGAUCGGCUAACUCCGUGCCAGCAGCCGCGGUAAUACGGAGGAUCCGGGCGUUAUCCGGAAUUACUGGGUUUAAAGGGUGCGUAGGCGGGGCUUUAAGCCGGCGGUGAAAUGCAGCGGCUCAACCGCUGGAAUGCCGUUGGGACUGGGGCUCUUGGAUACGGUCGGAGCGGGUGGAGCUCGUCGUGUAGCGGUGAAAUGCAUAGAUAUCACGAGGAACGCCGGUAGCGAAGGCAGCUCGCCGGGCCGGUAUUGACGCUGAGGCACGAAAGCGUGGGGAUCGAACAG
rnacentral:rRNA from 1 species